rnacentral:lncRNA from 1 species
UUAUAUGCAGCAUAGUGCUCCAGUUCUUGCACACUUUGGUUCUCUAUACCACCCGAAUCAACAAAAUCGUUCUUGUACUUGUUUCUUGAUGGAAACAAUGUCCCUUUGUUAAACUCGCUAUCGUCAAAAAGAGUGGUGCUUGAAUUAGGGGUCAUUGAAGAAGGGUCAGAUGAAGUUCUUUUCGACGGUUUUAGUGAUGAUCUUUUGUCAAUCUCAUCAUCAGAAUCGAACGGAUUGGAGCUAGGUUGACUUGGGACUCGUGAGUCAACUGUGUUUUUAACAGCUUUGUGAAAAUGAAGUUUCUUGUGCCCAAACAUACUUGAUUAUGCACGAUAACACGGGUCCUAAAAGGACAGGAGCAAGUAGAAAGUGGGGGGAAUUGGAUGGAUAUGAAAAAAGAUUCUGCAAGGAAUAA